GAUGAACGCUGGCGGCGUGCCUAAUACAUGCAAGUCGAGCGAACAGACGAGGAGCUUGCUCCUCUGACGUUAGCGGCGGACGGGUGAGUAACACGUGGAUAACUUACCUAUAAGACUGGGAUAACUUCGGGAAACCGGAGCUAAUACCGGAUAAUAUAUUGAACCGCAUGGUUCAAUAGUGAAAGACGGUUUUGCUGUCACUUAUAGAUGGAUCCGCGCCGCAUUAGCUAGUUGGUAAGGUAACGGCUUACCAAGGCAACGAUGCGUAGCCGACCUGAGAGGGUGAUCGGCCACACUGGAACGGAGACACGGUCCAGACUCCUACGGGAGGCAGCAGUAGGGAAUCUUCCGCAAUGGGCGAAAGCCUGACGGAGCAACGCCGCGUGAGUGAUGAAGGUCUUCGGAUCGUAAAACUCUGUUAUUAGGGAAGAACAAAUGUGUAAGUAACUAUGCACGUCUUGACGGUACCUAAUCAGAAAGCCACGGCUAACUACGUG
rnacentral:rRNA from 1 species